rnacentral:rRNA from 1 species
UACGUAGGGUGCAAGCGUUGUCCGGAAUUAUUGGGCGUAAAGAGCUCGUAGGCGGUUUGUCGCGUCUGCUGUGAAAACUCGGGGCUUAACCCCGGGCCUGCAGUGGGUACGGGCAGACUAGAGUGCGGUAGGGGAGACUGGAAUUCCUGGUGUAGCGGUGAAAUGCGCAGAUAUCAGGAGGAACACCAGCGGCGAAGGCGGCGCUCUGGGCCGGAACUGACGCUGAGGAGCGAAAGCGUGGGGAGCGAACAGG